rnacentral:lncRNA from 1 species
UAGAAUGUUAUGCAAAGUUUCAUAAGUUAUUCUCAUGGUGAUAAUGGUGUAUGCCACCCUUCGACCUGAAACCACUAUGGACCCUAGAUGUAGAGUUGAGUGCCUUAUUGCUGAUCAAACAUUGUCCGUAACUGGAUGACCAUAAAGACAAUUGAUGGGUACUCCACGAAGCAUGCUAAGGGGCAUGAGUGACCUAGAUGGAAUUUG